ACAAAAACCUCAAACCUGAGCAGCCCCAAUUACCUACCGAUGAUGAUACCCACCUCAAAAACCCAGAAACUCUCCCAAUCGAUUUUCUAAGGUUUGCUCAGCCAUGGAAUCUGGGUUCUGGACGGUACCUAUGGAGGCAUUAAUUUGGUCACGUCUUCCACAAAGUCAAAGGAUUGACCUCUUUAGCGAACUGGGUCUUGCUCCUAAUAACACAUAUAUGUUCAGGUUUGAGAUUAACUACUAUGGUGGUGGUGGUGUAUGAUGUUGAAAGCUCAUUUGAUAAGAUGUGUAAUUUUUCA